GACGAACGCUGGCGGCGUGCCUAAUACAUGCAAGUCGAGCGCAGGAAACUGACGGAACUCUUCGGAGGGAAGGCAGCGGAUUGAGCGGCGGACGGGUGAGUAACACGUAAGGAACCUGCCUCAAGGAUUGGGAUAACUCCGAGAAAUCGGAGCUAAUACCGGAUAGUUCAUCGGACCGCAUGGUCCGUUGAUGAAAGGCGCUUCGGCGUCACCUUGAGAUGGCCUUGCGGUGCAUUAGCUAGUUGGUGGGGUAACGGCCCACCAAGGCGACGAUGCAUAGCCGACCUGGGAGGGUGAUCGGCCACACUGGGACUGGGACACGGCCCAGACUCCUACGGGAGGCAGCAGUAGGGAAUCUUCCACAAUGGACGAAAGUCUGAUGGAGCAACGCCGCGUGAGUGAUGAAGGUUUUCGGAUCGUAAAACUCUGUUGUAAGGGAAGAACACGUACGAGAGGGAAUGCUCGUACCUUGACGGUACCUUACGAGAAAGCCACGGCUAACUACGUGCCAGCCGCCGCCGUAA
rnacentral:rRNA from 1 species